UACGAAGGUCCCGAGCGUUGUUCGGAAUUACUGGGCGUAAAGCGCACGUAGGCGGACUGAAAAGUCAGAGGUGAAAUCCCAGGGCUCAACCUUGGAACUGCCUUUGAAACUCUCAGUCUUGAGGUCGAGAGAGGUGAGUGGAAUUCCGAGUGUAGAGGUGAAAUUCGUAGAUAUUCGGAGGAACACCAGUGGCGAAGGCGGCUCACUGGCUCGAUACUGACGCUGAGGUGCGAAAGCGUGGGGAGCAAACAGG
rnacentral:rRNA from 1 species